UACGAAGGGGGCGAGCGUUGUUCGGAUUUACUGGGCGUAAAGGGCGCCUAGGCGGCCUUGUCAGUCAGGCGUGAAAGCCCCGGGCUCAACCUGGGAACGGCGCUUGGGACGGCGAGGCUGGAGUUCGGGAGAGGAGAGUGGAAUUCCCAGUGUAGAGGUGAAAUUCGUAGAUAUUGGGAAGAACACCGGUGGCGAAGGCGGCUCUCUGGACCGACACUGACGCUGAGGCGCGAAAGCGUGGGGAGCAAACAGG
rnacentral:rRNA from 1 species